UACGUAGGGUGCAAGCGUUGUCCGGAAUUAUUGGGCGUAAAGAGCUCGUAGGCGGUUUGUCGCGUCUGCUGUGAAAACUCGGGGCUUAACCCCGGGCCUGCAGUGGGUACGGGCAGACUAGAGUGCGGUAGGGGAGACUGGAAUUCCUGGUGUAGCGGUGAAAUGCGCAGAUAUCAGGAGGACCACCGGUGGCGAAGGCGGGUCUCUGGGACGGUACUGACGCUGAGACGCGAAAGCGUGGGGAGCGAACAGG
rnacentral:rRNA from 1 species